UUUAACUUCACUGCUUACAUCUUUUGCAAUGCAGUGUUUACAAAUAUAUCGAGUUUAUAUUUUCUCCGGUUUUAAACAACGCAAGCCAGAACAUUUUUGACCGAAUUUGAAUACCUGACAGGCUUUUCGUCAAUGGAAACAUAAAUUUUUUUAAAUAACUGCAAUUUCAAGUAA